GUCUAUGGCCAUGCCAUCUUGAAUGCACCUGAUCUCAUCUGGCCUUGGAAGCUAAACAGGGUUGGCCUUGGUUAGUAUUGGGUGGGAGACACAGGAUUAAUACGAAUCCAGUGCCCAAAACA
rnacentral:rRNA from 1 species